GACUUCAUUUGGACAACUGGGGAUUUUCUCAAAAAAAAAUUUUUUUUUGCCGUUUUUUAUUGUUGUAUCAUUGCCAAAUAUUUAUAAAGUAAAACUCAAAAAAAAAAAUGUAUGACUGGUUAUGUGGUCCAGGGACACAUAUUAUAAAUUUUAUGUAAGUUUAAUUGCUAUAUCAAAAUAACUUAUGGUAUAUCAUAUCAAGCGACACAGCCAAGCGACUUUCCGCAACACACCUUAUCCCCUAAACACGCUUGUUAGUAAUAUAAUUUAAUUUGUUAUUUUGACUGUUGCAAAAAUGUUCUCAAAUAAACAAAGUCAAUAGACAUGAUUACCUUUUUAAUGUGUAAAAAUUACUUUAUAUGUCUGACUCUUCAUGGGUUACAUUAGUCAAGAGGAAUACAACAAACAUUGUUUUAGUAUAUCAAGAAAAAGGUUUAUUGUAAAGGUUGACAUUUACAGAUAAUGACAAAAAUGAAAAUAGACUAACAAUGACAAAACAAAUUUCUAAAUCUCUACCACAGUGCAUAGUGGAAUUACAACCGAGACCUUCUCUUUAGUGUGAGGUCUCAAACGCUCUUCCAUGAUGACAUGCAACAUAUCAGACAGUAUCAUUUUCCUACAGAUAUAAAUACAAACCAUAUGGAAGCGGUGGGCGGGGUGUCGCGGAAAGCAUCCAAUGGGGAAGGUUGUGUUUGUAAAGUAUCCACUCAUAACAGAGUUCCGGCCAUUAUGUCGGUGACGUAAGGGAAUGCAACCAAUGACAUUACAGUAUCAUUCGCGCGAACACAAUUUAAAUUGUUGGCAUUGUGUACGGAAGUCAUUUUUUGCGAAUUGCGACUUGGUGAAACUGACUAUUGUUUGUGAUGGCGUGUAAAAGAAACCUGAGUUUUACUACUCCCGUGAGUAAUAGGGCUUUGCAACCAGCAGCAAGCCCACUGAGCAUAAAUGAUUUAACGAAACAGCUGAUCUCCGGUCAGAACGCUUUGUCUCGUCAGCUUGAGGGUUUGAUGGAGAAGCAAGCUGCAAACACUGUUCUUCUCGAAGAUGCUAUCCAGCGUCUUUGUGCUCUUGAGCGAAAGUUUGACGAGCAAAGACCGCAAGAGGAACAAAGACCGCGGGAAGAGCCAUUACAUAAAAGGAUAAAGAGGGCGCACAACGUGGGCAUUGCGGAAGCUGUAAGGCGCCUUCACAAUUCGGAAAACAACCCACAUAAAUAUGAUCCACAAACUGGAAUAAGUUUGCCUCGUAACCAAGCAGUCAUGACUUAUCAGCUAGAGGAAUUGAAAUCAACUUUUGCAGAUGCAGACCCUGAGUGUAUACAAGCGUGUUGCAAGACAUACUUUGAAACACUUCGGAGAAAGUACAAUUUGUCUCAGCCAGAAAAGUCCCAGCUAAGAGAUGCCAUUAAAACAGGAGCUAAAAACCGACAAAGGAAAAGACGGGUAAGUGUAGAAAUUCAUCAACUUGUCUUUAAAGGGAUAGUUCACCCCAAAUUGAAAAUUCUGUUAUUUUCUUCUGAUAACCACAAAAGAAAAUAUUUUUAGGAAUGUUUGAAAUCAAACUGAUCAUGAGCUCCAAUCACUUCCAUAGUUUUUUUUUUC
ensembl:lncRNA